AACGAACGCUGGCGGCAUGCCUAACACAUGCAAGUCGAACGAGACCUUCGGGUCUAGUGGCGCACGUGUGCGUAACGCGUGGGAACCUGCCCUUAGGUUCGGAAUAACUCCCCGAAAGGGGUGCUAAUACCGGAUAAUGUCUUCGGACCAAAGAUUUAUCGCCUUUGGAUGGGCCCGCGUUGGAUUAGCUGGUUGGUAGGGUACAAGCCUACCAAGGCGACGAUCCAUAGCUGGUCUGAGAGGAUGAUCAGCCACACUGGGACUGAGACACGGCCCAGACUGGUACGCGAGGCAGCAGUGGGGAAUAUUGGAGGAUGGGCGAAAGCCUGAUCCAGCAAUGCCGCGUGAGUGAUGAAGGCGUUAGGGUUGUAAAGCUCUUUUAGCCGGGAUGAUAAUGACAGUACCGGGAGAAUAAGCUCCGGCUAACUACGUG
rnacentral:rRNA from 1 species